rnacentral:lncRNA from 1 species
UUUUGAAUUCAUAUCAGGAUGGCAGCUUAAAAUGUACAAAAUUCAUAGAUGAGUUGAAGUAGAAACAGAUGAAAGAACUCUCUUAAAAAUGACAUGUCUUUUUAAAAACUGGGAGGAUAUAAAUGAGGUUGUUCCUUGUAUUGUCUCAAAAGAAUAUUAAACGUUUUUGGACAUGUCGACAUAACUGUAUUUGUUAAUAAGGUAAGAAUAAAGUGACUGAUUCACAUUAAAGCAGCUGCAAAACUACAAAAAAAAUCAUCUGAAAUUUAUGUAUUAGGCCAGAGCAGAGUUAUGUUCCCCUUGGUUUUCUAGAUCUAGAAACACUGGGUCCUAAUGCAUGACCAGUGUGGUUCUGGAAUGUCCUGUUCUUUGCUACAUCACCUGAUAAAACAUCAACUCAGA